CAAUACAACCCAUGGUAAAACAAAUAUAUUUCACCUACCCAAUUCAUUUUAGCCUCAUUUCUUCAUCAAACCCCAUCUUCUUCACCUACUCAGGAAUAGUGCAUUAGUGUUUAAUUAGGAUUGCUAUCUGCUUCGAUUUGGUGGACUAAAACUGAAGAAUCUUUCAUUUCUAGCCUUAUCCAACUGGCUACUCAUUGAUAAAAAUUUACUGAUUUGGGUUAUCUUUUAGGGUUUGGGAAUAUUUGGGAUUCGGUAAAUGUUGUCUCUUUCUUUUUGUUUAAUAGGUCAUAUGAUAUUAUUAUUAUAGUAUCCUUUAUGCAUUUAUUUUUUAUUUUUGUUUGGGAUGGUCCCAAUCGUCUUUGUCCGACAUGAAAAAGUUAGGAUUUUUUUUUAUUUUUGUAUAUGUCGUUGGGUGGGUGUUAGUCGACAUAAUUGUGGUCCUUUUCCAUUUUCUUUAUUGCUUGAUAUCUUUUUGAUUUUAUUCAUAACUGAUGUGGGCCUCUUUUUUGUAAUUUUUUUGUUGCAUGUGGAUAUGUUAGAAGAAUGGUCGACAAAGUAGAUUUGUAUUUUAAUCAUGGUGGUGAUUGGACCUGGAACCCACCUUGUCUUAUUGUAAAAAAAAGAUGUGCACCUACUGAGAGAUUAUGAAGUAGACCAUUUGUCCUACAUUGAUUUGUGUAAUGAAUACACUGAUGUACUAGGGUAUGUUGAGGUACAGUAGCUGAUAUUUACUACUCCAUGUGGUAGAUAUUAUUUGUUGGAUGGAGAUGAAGGAAUUAGGAAGCUUAAGUCACUCAUUAAUGAAACUUUUAGGGUUAUUAAUAUAUUUGUUAUUGACCUCCUUGAUGAUACUGUUGUUGUUCCUAAUAUAACUCAACGUACUGAUACCAAUUGUGAAAAUAUAAUUGUUGGGACUGAUUGUGACAGUGAGGAAGAGGGUACAGAUAAUGAACCUAUGCAAAGUGAUUAUGAUAGUGAUGUUGUGUUAGGGGUAUUUAAGAAGCAAAGAAAACUUGAGGUAACAAAUAACUUGAUAGGUACAAAAUCUUGGUGAAGGGUAUGACAUUUAAGAAUCUUGCUGAAGCAAAAGAAGUUAUUGAUUUUUAUUCUGUUGCAAAUAAGAAUGCUUUAGAGUUAGUUAAGAGUGACAGGAAGAGACUUAUAUAUAAGUGUGUUGUUGGUUAUCCUUUUAAAUGUCUUAUCUCUAAGGAUGGAGAUAACCAAGGGUGCAAGAUAAAGACUUUAUAUGCUAAACAUGAAUGUGGGGAAGCAUUUGAGAACAGAAGAGUUAUUCCUGCUACCUUAGCUCAUUAUUUUAAGAGAAAGGUUCAAAAUAAUCAUAAGUACAAGGUGAAAGAAAUGAAGAGUGACUUGGAGGAGAGAUUUAAGCGAAAUGUGAGUCAGUCAAAGUUAAAGAGAGUGAAAAGGAUAGUGUUAGAGAAACUAGAAGUUAGCUACUUAGAUGAGUACAACAAGUUGGAGGCAUAUGCCCAAGAAUUGAGGGAGAGCAAUCCUGGUUCUGAUGUGGUUAUUCAGAUAUCCAAAGAUGCUUUGGAAAAAGGUAAAAGGAGAUUCUUGAGAAUGUAUGUGUGCUUUUUGGCCCUCAAGAAUGGCUUCAAAGCAGGUUUGAGGCCUUUUAUAUGACUUGAUGGUACCUUUUUAAAAGGAAAAUGCCAAGGUAUGUUGCUGGUGGUUGUGGCUCAAGAUUCUGCUAAAUAUUUUUAUCAAUUAGCUUGGGUUGUGAUAGACAAGAAAAAUAGUAGAACUUGGCACUGGUUUAUGGAGAACUUGAAGAGUUCUUUAGAUUUGAAAGAAGGUGAAGGAGUAACCUUCAUGUCAGAUAUGCAGAAGGGACUCUUAGAUGAUGUUAGGAAAGUAUGUCCAUAAGCUCAUCAUAGAUUUUGUGUGAGGCACAUUGAAGCAAAUUGGUGUAAAAGUUGGCAUAGUAAUGACAUGAAAAAGCUACUUUGAUGGUCUGCCUAGAGCACAUAUGAAGAAGAAUUUAAGGAUAUGUUGACGCAACUAGGUGAAGUAUCUGAGGAUUGUGUGAAAGACUUGUUGAAAUAUCUACCCUCUAGCUGAUGUAGAGCAUAUUUAGACACCAAAUGCAAGAACCUAAUGGUGGAUAAUAACUUUACAUAAUCUUUCAACUCAUGGAUUCUUGAAGCCAGACAACAGCCCAUUGUGAAGAUGCUUGAAACUAUCAGAGUGAAGGUAAUGACUUUGGUAAAGGACCAUGGAGAUGAAGUAAGUAGCUGGAAAAAUGUUCAUAUGCAAUGGAGCUCUAUAAUGAUUAUAGAGAGAUGGCACAAGAUUGUACCUCAUUUUUUAAUGGAGAGAGGGGUUAUGAAGCAUCACAAGGUACAAACAGGUACACUUUAUUCUUGAGUUUCAGAAGUGCACAUGUAGGAUAUGGGACUUGUUUGGCAUUCCAUGUCGUCAUGCUAUCAGGGUCUUCAAUUACAAGAAGCUUGAUCCAAAGACAGAGAUUCACUGGUGGUAUUCAAAAGAGGCAUUCCAGUUGGUGUAUCAACACAAGCUCCAACCUGUUAGGGAUGAGAAAUUUUGGAAGGUGGAGUCACAUCAUGCCAGAGAUCCACCACCCUUAGUAAAGAUGGUGGGUAGACCAAAAGUCAAAAGGACAAGAGAAAAAGAAAAGGCUAUUAAUAGGCAAGGCACAUGGGCAGCUUCUAGGAAAAGCCUUAAAAUGCAUUGUGGUUACUGUGGAAAAUAAAAUCACAAUCAAAGAAAAUAUCCAAUGAAGAUAAAGACAUCUAACAAUAGUUAUCUUAUUAUUUAUGCUUGUUUAAAGACACUGACCAGUUUAUUUCACCUUAUGCAGCUACAAGGGGUACCUCAGUCAGGGCAGAAACCCAGUGAGCCAUCUGAGUUUGUUAUAAUCCCUAAUCCUAGGUUUAUACCUCAGUCAGGACAUAAGCCCAUUGUAUUGGCAUACGCCUUGGCGUUGAGCAAAUUUUCUUUUGGGACGCAAGCCUAGAAAACAUCUCGAAAUUAGAAUUGAAAUUGCUAAAGAGUCCUUAAUUCAAUACGAAAAAUACAAAAUCAACAUGUAUUAAAUUUUAAAAAGUUAAAAAAAUUUAAAAUUCAAAACAAGAAUUUGUUCUUAGCUCUAUUUUUAUUCUUUCUCUUUGUCUUCUAUCAGGUAAAGGGGAAAUGAUCGAUUUGCAAACAACAAAGAAAAAUGCAUCAACCUUCAUCACUUCUCUGGUUCGACGCUUCUGAUUGCAACAAGGAUGGACAACUAAGACAGGUAUAAAAUAGGGUCUGAACAAGGCAGAAGGGAAGAAAACAACGGAAAAAUUUAACUGCAGAGUGGAUAAGUACUAGAGAGAAAAUUAGACAUACAUCAAAACUGUUUUGAUGAAAGACAUAUAUCAAAACUAUUGUUAGGGGGAAAAGGACAACCUAGACUUCUAGAGAGCAUGUUGAGGGCGAUGUUCACAAAAAGUCCCCUAUUAAGCCCAACUAUGCCAAGAAAUGGUAACUGACCCCUAAUUGUUGCAAAUAAUGCAGCAUCUGAAACUGUUUAAGAACAGAGGAAGUGACAAAAGGUUGUAAAUUGAGAGACAGAAGUAACUGAACGGUCCUCAUUUUCUUAAAACGCAGGUAAAUCAAGUAAACGACCCUACGAUUCUUAAAUUGAACUUAAACAUAUCAAGAAACAAGAUCCACAGAUUGGUCGUUAACUGCUAUUUGUACCUCUAAGUAUGGUGCCUUAAAGGCAUAAAAGAUGAACUUGCCCGGUGUGCAGAACAUCUGCAUCACUUCUGCAAAUGUCCUUUCAUACUCAAAAAUCAUGUGUCCAUAUAAUUAGAAUCCAUGUCUCAGCACAGAAUGUAAUCAUCAAAGAUCGAGUUACACUGAAAGAAAUUCAUUUCCUCAUGAAGCUUCCGGACAGUGAACCAGUGAAGCAGAGAAAGGUUACAGCAAGUUUACUCAUGAAAAUACGCCUGGGCAUACAUUACCUUAGUGUGAUUGGAAACUCAUUGAGCUUGUACAAGAGUAAUCAGAUGCAAAGUAAUACUCCAAUUUUACUGUAUAAAGCUAGCUUGCUGGUGCCUGCAUAGAUUGUGCAAGUAAGAAGGAGCGACAGAUCAUUAACUUCUAACAGGGUACAGACCCAGCGCUCAAGGCUUCAGAAUGAGUAACAAGGAGCAGCAAAUUACUGUAACUUCUAACACGGUUCCAUCAUAGUGAAUCAGAACUGUUUUCAAACCACAAAGAAAAUGUAUAAAGCCACUUGAAACUUUCUAAA